AAGUAAACGGAUAUGCUAAUAUCUAAUGUCAUUAUUUGACACGAAUUCCACUUUUUCUACUUCUGAUUCCUGCAGAUUGUGGAACAUUGAAGAUAGCGGACGGAAGCUUUACAGCAACAUCGGGAACAACUUAUGGAAAGAAUGCCACACUUUCUUGUGACGUUGGAUAUUUCUUGUCGGGAAAUUCUCUGAUUACUUGUACAGAAUCUGGUUGGGAUGGAGGUGUAACUUGCUCACCGAUAGAUUGCGGAAAUCCAACACCACAAUAUGCAACUGCAAAUAGCACGGUGUACACAUAUGGGUCUGUUAUAAAGAUAACUUGUAACGCUGGUUUAUUCAUAACCGGAAGUUCAAGCAUAUAUUGCAGAGCAGACGGUGCCUGGAGUGAUAGUCCCACUUGUGGUUGUCUUAGCGGCCAACAGAUGUACCAAACAUCCUGUUAUAAAGUCAUCACGCAGAAGCAGGCAUGGAAUCAGGCAAAGACAGAUUGUGAAGCUAUAGGUGGACAUCUGGUGGAUGUGAACUCGGAUGGGGAGCAACAG